rnacentral:rRNA from 1 species
GACGAACGCUGGCGGCGUGCUUAACGCAUGCAAGUCGAACGGAAAGGCCCUGCUUUUGUGGGGUGCUCGAGUGGCGAACGGGUGAGUAACACGUGAGUAACCUGCCCUUGACUUUGGGAUAACUUCAGGAAACUGGGGCUAAUACCGGAUAGGAGCUCCUGCUGCAUGGUGGGGGUUGGAAAGUUUCGGCGGUUGGGGAUGGACUCGCGGCUUAUCAGCUUGUUGGUGGGGUAGUGGCUUACCAAGGCUUUGACGGGUAGCCGGCCUGAGAGGGUGACCGGCCACAUUGGGACUGAGAUACGGCCCAGACUCCUACGGGAGGCAGCAGUGGGGAAUAUUGCACAAUGGGCGGAAGCCUGAUGCAGCAACGCCGCGUGCGGGAUGACGGCCUUCGGGUUGUAAACCGCUUUCGCCUGUGACGAAGCGUGAGUGACGGUAAUGGGUAAAGAAGCACCGGCGAACUACGU